GGAGGGUGCGAGCGUUGUUCGGAAUUAUUGGGCGUAAAGCGCGUGUAGGCGGUCUGUUUAGUCUGGUGUGAAAGCCCUGGGCUCAACCCGGGAAGUGCAUUGGAUACUGGCAGACUUGAGUACGGGAGAGGAUAGUGGAAUUCCGAGUGUAGGGGUGAAAUCCGUAGAUAUUCGGAGGAACACCGGUGGCGAAGGCGGCUAUCUGGACCGAUACUGACGCUGAGACGCGAAAGCAUGGGGAGCAAACAGGAUUAGAUACCCUGGUAGUCCACGCCGUAAACGAUGGGUACUAGGUGUUGCGGGUAUUGACCCCUGCAGUGCCGAAGCUAACGCAUUAAGUACCCCGCCUGGGGAGUACGGUCGCAAGACUA
rnacentral:rRNA from 1 species